UACGUAGGGGGCGAGCGUUAUCCGGAUUUAUUGGGUUUAAAGGGUGCGUAGGCGGAUCGUUAAGUCAGUGGUCAAAUUGAGGGGCUCAACCCCUUCCCGCCAUUGAAACUGGCGAUCUUGAGUGGAAGAGAAGUAUGCGGAAUGCGUGGUGUAGCGGUGAAAUGCAUAGAUAUCACGCAGAACCCCGAUUGCGAAGGCAGCAUGCCGGCUUCCUACUGACGCUGAAGCACGAAAGCGUGGGGAUCGAACAGG
rnacentral:rRNA from 1 species